rnacentral:rRNA from 1 species
GAUGAACGCUAGCUACAGGCUUAACACAUGCAAGUCGAGGGGCAGCAUGGUCUUAGCUUGCUAAGGCCGAUGGCGACCGGCGCACGGGUGAGUAACACGUAUCCAACCUGCCGUCUACUCUUGGACAGCCUUCUGAAAGGAAGAUUAAUACAAGAUGGCAUCAUGAGUCCGCAUGUUCACAUGAUUAAAGGUAUUCCGGUAGACGAUGGGGAUGCGUUCCAUUAGAUAGUAGGCGGGGUAACGGCCCACCUAGUCUUCGAUGGAUAGGGGUUCUGAGAGGAAGGUCCCCCACAUUGGAACUGAGACACGGUCCAAACUCCUACGGGAGGCAGCAGUGAGGAAUAUUGGUCAAUGGGCGAGAGCCUGAACCAGCCAAGUAGCGUGAAGGAUGACUGCCCUAUGGGUUGUAAACUUCUUUUAUAAAGGAAUAAAGUCGGGUAUGGAUACCCGUUUGCAUGUACUUUAUGAAUAAGGAUCGGCUAACUCCGUGCCAGCAGCCGCGGUAAUACGGAGGAUCCGAGCGUUAUCCGGAUUUAUUGGGUUUAAAGGGAGCGUAGAUGGAUGUUUAAGUCAGUUGUGAAAGUUUGCGGCUCAACCGUAAAAUUGCAGUUGAUACUGGAUAUCUUGAGUGCAGUUGAGGCAGGCGGAAUUCGUGGUGUAGCGGUGAAAUGCUUAGAUAUCACGAAGAACUCCGAUUGCGAAGGCAGCCAGCUAAGCUGCAACUGACAUUGAGGCUCGAAAGUGUGGGUAUCAAACAGGAUUAGAUACCCUGGUAGUCCACACGGUAAACGAUGAAUACUCGCUGUUUGCGAUAUACUGCAAGCGGCCAAGCGAAAGCGUUAAGUAUUCCACCUGGGGAGUACGCCGGCAACGGUGAAACUCAAAGGAAUUGACGGGGGCCCGCACAAGCGGAGGAACAUGUGGUUUAAUUCGAUGAUACGCGAGGAACCUUACCCGGGCUUAAAUUGCAGAUGAAUUACGGUGAAAGCCGUAAGCCGCAAGGCAUCUGUGAAGGUGCUGCAUGGUUGUCGUCAGCUCGUGCCGUGAGGUGUCGGCUUAAGUGUCAUAACGAGCGCAACCCUUGUUGUCAGUUACUAACAGGUUCCGCUGAGGACUCUGACAAGACUGCCAUCGUAAGAUGUGAGGAAGGUGGGGAUGACGUCAAAUCAGCACGGCCCUUACGUCCGGGGCUACACACGUGUUACAAUGGGGGGUACAGAGGGCCGCUACCACGCGAGUGGAUGCCAAUCCCCAAAACCUCUCUCAGUUCGGACUGGAGUCUGCAACCCGACUCCACGAAGCUGGAUUCGCUAGUAAUCGCGCAUCAGCCACGGCGCGGUGAAUACGUUCCCGGGCCUUGUACACACCGCCCGUCAAGCCAUGGGAGCCGGGGGUACCUGAAGUGCGUAACCGCGAGGAGCGCCCUAGGGUAAAAC